AGCCAUGUCGGGACGGGAUAAACGCUGAAGGCAUCUAAGCGUGAAGCCCCCCUCAAGAUGAGAUAUCCCAUCGUAAGAGUAAGACCCCUUGAAGACGACAAGGUUGAUAGGGCAGGGGUGGAAGUGCUGUAAGGCAUGGAGCUGACUGCUACUAAUCGGUCGAGGGCUUGACCAA
rnacentral:rRNA from 1 species